UGCCACUGACCUCCUAGAGCCACUUGC
rnacentral:piRNA from 1 species